CGGGCUUUCUUUCUGUGAGCCUUCCUCACAACUGGCGCUCCCGGUGAAGCUGUCUCACCAUCACUCGAAUCAGCUUCAGCUUCAUAGUUGUCAUCCUCUCCGUCGGUGCUCACAUCCUCCAGACCAGCAAGAUCAUCAUCCUCAACAGAAACCAUCUAGGAAAAGAAUAAGAUAUGAAACAUGGAAAUCAAAAAGGGAAAGUAUCAAGAAAUUACUAGACUAACGUGUCCAAGAAAGAGCACCCACCAGAAAAUAUCAAAGAACGUGAAGGAGAAAGUCAUGACACAGUGUCUAAUAGCCCAUCAAACUUAUUCAGAAGAACAAACAAAAAAUUGAAUUAACAUGCAAAAGAAUUUCACACCUGCUUACGACUCCUCUUGCCCUUCCCCAUGGUCUUGAAUUCUUCAACUUGAUGCACUUCAUAUUUAUCUCGUAGCAGUUCUUCCCAAUAAGAUGCUCUCUCAGAAUUGUUUACAGUUGCUUUAUUCUCCACAGGGGCAGUUGGGGCUUCCUCUUCUGCUGUUGCUUCUGCUUCUUCAACGUAUUCAAAAUUAGCAA
rnacentral:lncRNA from 1 species